UUCAACAGCAUUUACCUUCCGGCCGUCACGUGUGCGUGUGUGGGUCAGCCAUAUUGGAGCGGUACAGACGGCCAUAGAAAUGAAUGAACAACUUUGUUUCGCGUUAAGAACCAUCCAGGGUCAAGUUCCCUCUUUGUCAGCGACCACUUGGUACAAGUUCUGGAUGAGCGUCUUCUGUGCGGAGAGCUCGCUGCUGAGUGACGGUCCCGAGCUGGGCUGGCUUGGUGCGUUCUGCCUGCUGAGCUGACUGAGCAGCUCCAGCAUGCGACUCUUCUCCUUCUGCCAUGGAAUAACCGAGAGGAACGACAUGGCGCUACGGCUAUAACCAACGUGUCGGCCUGGACUUUUAGUAGAACGGCAUGAUGGUUCUUCUUCGUCCAUGUUCAGCAUGUAUGAUGGAGG